rnacentral:rRNA from 1 species
UACGAAGGGGGCUAGCGUUGUUCGGAGUUACUGGGCGUAAAGGGCGCGUAGGCGGCCCUCCAAGUCGGGCGUGAAAGCCCACGGCUCAACCGUGGAAUUGCGCUCGAGACUGAAGGGCUCGAGGACGGGAGAGGAUGGUGGAAUUCCCAGUGUAGAGGUGAAAUUCGUAGAUAUUGGGAAGAACACCGGUGGCGAAGGCGGCUUACUGGUCCGGUACUGACGCUGAGGUGCGAAAGCGUGGGGAGCAAACAGG